rnacentral:rRNA from 1 species
GGCAGGCUUAAUACAUGCAAGUCGAGGGGCAGCAUGAAGUAGCAAUACUUUGAUGGCGACCGGCAAACGGGUGCGGAACACGUACACAACCUUCCUUUAAGUGGGGAAUAGCCCAGAGAAAUUUGGAUUAAUACCCCGUAACAUUGCGAUGUGGCAUCACAUUGCAAUUAUAGCUUCGGCGCUUAAUGAUGGGUGUGCGUAUGAUUAGAUAGUUGGCGAGGUAACGGCUCACCAAGUCUACGAUCAUUAGCUGAUGUGAGAGCAUGAUCAGCCACACGGGCACUGAGACACGGGCCCGACUCCUACGGGAGGCAGCAGUAAGGAAUAUUGGUCAAUGGACGCAAGUCUGAACCAGCCAUGCCGCGUGAAGGAUUAAGGUCCUCUGGAUUGUAAACUUCUUUUAUAUGGGACGAAAAAAGGUCUUUCUAGACCCCUUGACGGUACCAUAUGAAUAAGCACCGGCUAACUCCGUGCCAGCAGCCGCGGUAAUACGGAGGGUGCAAGCGUUAUCCGGAUUCACUGGGUUUAAAGGGUGCGUAGGCGGGUAGGUAAGUCAGUGGUGAAAUCCUGGAGCUUAACUCCAGAACUGCCAUUGAUACUAUCUAUCUUGAAUAUUGUGGAGGUAAGCGGAAUAUGUCAUGUAGCGGUGAAAUGCUUAGAUAUGACAUAGAACACCCAUUGCGAAGGCAGCUUACUACGCAUAUAUUGACGCUGAGGCACGAAAGCGUGGGGAUCAAACAGGAUUAGAUACCCUGGUAGUCCACGCCCUAAACGAUGGAUACUCGACAUACGCGAUACACUGUGUGUGUCUGAGCGAAAGCAUUAAGUAUCCCACCUGGGAAGUACGUUCGCAAGAAUGAAACUCAAAGGAAUUGGCGGGGGUCCGCACAAGCGGUGGAGUAUGUGGUUUAAUUCGAUGAUACGCGAGGAACCUUACCUGGGCUAGAAUGCUGGGAGAACGCUAGUGAAAGCUAGUUUUGUAGCAAUACACUGC